UAAAGGGCUAGAGCAGUGAUGGAUGCCGCGUCUUGGGGUUUCGCGACCCUUCCACUCUGCCCCAGCGGCAGCUCGUGGACAACGGCUACCCUCGCAAGGUAAGUUCGUUUAGGUAGGGCUUUUCUUUGCGUUAGGAGUAAGACAGAUUAAAGCGAAGCUGCUUGCAACGAGCUAAGAGGUAUGCUAGAGGCGAUCAAGAAAUCGUGUUGAAACUCUCAACGCUUGAAGACACCUCUUUUCGAUUGCAACGCAAAAGGGAGCCAGUGACACAACAAACAACUCAAACAAGCAAAGUGCAAAACAACGGGCCAAGGAACUCUCAACGCGAAGGGACACUCACCGAUGUGGACAACGCUGUUUGAAUACGAACAAAACUAACGAUCAACGAUACUUGGUUUCACGUUGCCAGGUUCGCGUGUGUUUCCAUUUGUUCUAAUUUCUUGUUAUGAAGAAGCCAAGUGACAUGCUGGUGCUGCUCAACGACGAUAGGAACUGAAAAACGCCAUGUCACAGCGUGUGCCAAGAAGAAAACUGCUACUAGAUUGGAGAGAUUUUGUGUCAACGUUUUGGAGAGAUUGUCAGCGCUUUGAGUUGUGUUGUUGCUGCGUUCAACGCAAGACCUGCGAGCUGAGAAACAACGGCGAUCUCAGAACUUCAAUCCAGCUGAAAAUGUACAUGACAAUGGUCCAACCUCAAUGAAAACAACGAUCAUGAUCCGUCGCUGAUCCUUGACAGGCCCGGUCCACUCGCACCUCUCCACCUCGCAAGGUAAGUUCGUUCAGUUUUCUUUGUGUUAGCAAUAAGCGAGUAAGACAACGAAACAAGAGAGAUUUGCUGGAGACAAGAAAUAUGCUCUAGAAUGAUCAACGAUAAAAGAGAGGCUAGAAGCAAUCAAGAAUUUGUUGAAACUCUCAACGUUUGAAGACGCUCUUUCUUUUCGAUUGAGAUUGUCGACGGGGUAUGCUCAACGCAAAAGGGAGCCAGUGACACAGUCAAGCUAAGAUGAUAUGCUCAAACAACUCAAACAAGCAAAGUGCAAGACAACGGGCCAAGGAACUCUCAACGCGAAGGGAAACUCACCGAUGUGGACAACGCUGUGUGAAUACGAACAAAACUAACGAUCAACGAUACUUAGUUUCACGUUACCAGGUUCGCGUGUGUUUCGAUUUGUUCUAAUUUCUUGUUAUGAAGAAGCCAAGUGACAUGCUGGUGCUGCUCAACGACGAUAAGAACUGAAAAACGCCAUGUCACAGCGUGUGCCAAGAAGAAAACUGCUACUAGAUUGGAGAGAUUUUGUGUCAACGUUUUGGAGAGAUUGUCAGCGCUUUGAGUUGUGUUGUUGCUGCGUUCAACGCAAGACCUGCGAGCUGAGAAACAACGGCGAUCUCAGAACUUAAUCCAGCUGAAAAUGUACAUGACAAUGGCUCAACCUCAAUGAAAACAACAACCAUGAUCCGUCGCUGAUCCUUGACAGGCCCGGUCCACUCUCGCACCUCUCCACCUCGCAAGGUAAGUUCGUUCAGUUUUCUUUGUGUUAGCAAUAAGCGAGUAAGACAAUGAAACAAGAGACAUUUGCAAGAAA